rnacentral:rRNA from 1 species
UACAGAGGGGGCAAGCGUUGUUCGGAAUUACUGGGCGUAAAGGGCGCGUAGGCGGCCCGCUAAGUCGAACGUGAAAUCCCCGAGCUCAACUCGGGAACUGCGUCCGAUACUGGCGGGCUUGAAUCCGGGAGAGGGAUGCGGAAUUCCAGGUGUAGCGGUGAAAUGCGUAGAUAUCAGGAAGAACACCUAUGGCGAAGGCAGCUCUCUGGGACGGUACUGACGCUGAGACGCGAAAGCGUGGGGAGCGAACAGG